rnacentral:lncRNA from 10 species
GCGUGAAUGUGUGGACAGUGGGAGGUGGUGUGUGUGUGUGAACUAGUGUGCAGAGGGAGGCACUGGUGUGUGUUUGAAUGAGUGUGUGUGCAGACACAGGAGGGUGUUGGUGUGUGUGUUUGAAUGAGUGUGUGUGGACAGAGGGAGCAUUGGUGUGUGUGUGUGAAUGAGUGUCUUGUGGACAGAGGUGGGCAUUGUGUGUGUGUAAAUAAGUGUGGACAGAGGCAGGCAGUGGUGUGUGUGUGAGAGUGAGUGUGCGGGUGAACAGAGGCAGGCAUUGGUGUGUGUGUGUGAAUGAGUAUCUGUGUGGACAGAGGUGGGCGUUGGUGUGUGUGUGUGAAUGAGUGUGUGUGCGGACAGAGGGGGCGUUGUGUGUGUGUGUGAAUGAGUGUGUGUGCGGACAGAGGGGGCGUUGUGUGUGUGUGAAUGAGUAUCUGUGUGGACAGAGGUGGGCGUUGUGUGUAUGUGAAUGAGUGUGUGUGUGGACAGAGGGAGCAUUGUGUGCGUGUGAAUGAGUGUGUGUGCGGACAGAGGGAGCGUUGGUGUGUGUGACUGAGUGUGUGUGUGGACAGAGGGGGCCGUUGGCGUGUGUGUGUGAAUGAGUAUCUGUGUGGACAGAGGUGGGCAUUGGGGGGUGUGUGUGUGAAUGAGUGUGUGUGCAGACAGAGGGAGCGUUGGUGUGUGUGCGAAUGAGUGUGUGCGGACAGAGGGAGCGUUGGUGUGUGGGAGAGAAUGAGUGUGUGUCGUGUAAGUGUAUUUGCGCAGAUGUGUGAGUGUAUGUGAGUGCCCCAAGCGUCGUAACAGAACCUUCCAUCCCUUCCAUUCAAACUCAGCGGUACAGUAGAACCACAGGCUGGUGAUUUGAAUACAGUUUCGGGAAAGGCCAAUGAGUAGCAGAGGACAAUGCCCUCGGCAUGGUGCGCGGAGGUGGCAACCUGACCUGCUGCCCUGUAACUUUAGAAUCCCAGAAGGAACCAGCCCCGCAAAGGCUCUAAAGAAAUAAAGCCUGGGGACUUGGGAUCCCUGGGAGCCCAGAUGGAAGGGGACAAGGUCCCGAGAUACUGUCGUCAGGCAGUCCCUGUCCUGACCUCGCAGGAUGGACACAGGCUGAGUGGCCACCUAGGCCCAGAAACAGAGCUGGCACAGAGUCCUGGAAAGAGCAGGCAUUGGGUGGGGUGUCAAGGGGGCAUUCAAAAAAUUAAUUUUAUGAACCAAAUUCCUUAAAUUGAGCCUCAUGUUGGAAAGCACAUCCCCCCGCACAAAGGUUCAGAGUGUGGGCUUGGGAGAGGGUCAGACAUAGAUUCCAUUCUGUGCCCCAGCAAAUUACAGCCCUCGAAACUUCAGUUUUUUGGUUCAUGCCACAUCCUUACAGGACCAUUUAGAGCCAUGCUGCCAAUGGGAAUAUAAUGUGAACCACACAGGCUCAUCGAUGUUUUCUAGUAGCCACACUAAAGAUAGCAAAAAGACACGGGGAUGUUAAUUUAAUAAUGUGUAUCAUUUACUAGAAGAGACCCAAAGUUUAUCACACCACGUGUAAUGGACGUGAAGAUUAUCCCGUAUGUCUUCUCUUGUUCCCAGUCUUUGAAACCUCAUGUGCAUUUCACACUUAAUGCACGUUGCCAGGGUUUUCAAGAGCUUGGUGACCUCAUGUGGCUGGUGGGAUCAUCGCUGGAAGGAAGAGCUGCCGGGGUUAAAUGAGGUAAUCACUGCAAGCGCCGUGCCUCAGGUUUGGUAAACGUCUAAUACACGCAAGAUU